ensembl:lncRNA
CUGCUGGCUAAGGAAGCUGUGGCUUUCACAUGGCUAAACUGAGCUCCUUCUGCACAAGGAAGAAAGCUCUUCUUAUGAAGCAGAGAUGGAGAGGUCCAUGGCUGACACAGAAGCCACGCUGCAUUGCAUUUCUGAAAGUUUUCAUACCUUCACCAUCACCGAUAAGAUACAAGCUCUGAUGACUGUUCAGAUGGAGAAAAGCAGCUUUCUGUAACACAAACCUACAUUUUAAGAAAAGGUCCAGCAGAGUAGUGGACAGUGAGUUGCUAUGAGAAGGCAAAAAGAAAACCCAGACAAACAACAAACCAGAACAAAAAC